rnacentral:rRNA from 1 species
GCGGAGGAAAAGAAACCAACAGGGAUUGCCCUAGUAACGGCGAGUGAAGCGGCAACAGCUCAAAUUUGAAAUCUGGCGCAAGCCCGAGUUGUAAUUUGUAGAGGAUGCUUCAGGGCAGCGGCCGGUCUAAGUUCCUUGGAACAGGACGUCAUAGAGGGUGAGAAUCCCGUAUGCGACCGGUUGGCACCCGUCACGUAGCUCCUUCGACGAGUCGAGUUGUUUGGGAAUGCAGCUCUAAAUGGGAGGUAAAUUCCUUCUAAAGCUAAAUACCGGCCAGAGACCGAUAGCGCACAAGUAGAGUGAUCGAAAGAUGAAAAGCACUUUGGAAAGAGAGUUAAAAAGCACGUGAAAUUGUUGAAAGGGAAGCGCAUGCAACCAGACUCGACGGCGGUGUUCCGCCGGUCUUCUGACCGGUCUACUCGCCGCCGUCGGGCCAGCAUCACUUGGGGGCGCCGGAUAAAGGCGUGGGGAAUGUGGCUCUUCGGAGUGUUAUAGCCCCGCGCACAAUACGGCGACCCUCGAGUGAGGUCCGCGCUUCGGCUAGGAUGCUGGCGUAAUGGUUGUAUGCGGCCCGUCUUGAAACACGGACCAAGGAGUCUACCAUCUAUGCGAGUGUUCGGGUGUCAAACCCCUACGCGUAAUGAAAGUGAACGGAGGUGGGAACCGCAAGGUGCACCAUCGACCGAUCCUGAUGUCUUCGGAUGGAUUUGAGUAAGAGCAUAGCUGGUGGGACCCGAAAGAUGGUGAACUAUGCCUGAAUAGGGUGAAGCCAGAGGAAACUCUGGUGGAGGCUCGCAGCGGUUCUGACGUGCAAAUCGAUCGUCAAAUUUGGGUAUAGGGGCGAAAGACUAAUCGAACCAUUAACUACUAGGUGGUUAAGAGGGCCGCAAGCGCGGUCCUAGUCCGACUAUAGGUCGGGCGACAUCGUCAAAUUGCGGGGACUCCCUGAAGCCCGAGCUGCCGCCGGCCUCCCGAAAGGAAGCGUCCGGCACCCGGUUUAACCGCCGGGGUAUGGUCACAAUGCUCGCGGAUUGGGUAACCACGCAGCCAAUCCCUGACGCCUCUCUCUGGCCACGGGUGCAGUUCACAGACUAAAUGGCGAUGGGUCGCCUCUCUGGCGGCUUAAGAUAUAGUCGAUUCCCGCGUUCCGAAAGGACGGG